rnacentral:rRNA from 1 species
ACGAACGCUGGCGGCGUGCUUAACACAUGCAAGUCGAACGGAAAGGCCCUGCUUUUGUGGGGUGCUCGAGUGGCGAACGGGUGAGUAACACGUGAGUAACCUGCCCUUGACUUUGGGAUAACUUCAGGAAACUGGGGCUAAUACCGGAUAGGAGCUCCUGCUGCAUGGUGGGGGUUGGAAAGUUUCGGCGGUUGGGGAUGGACUCGCGGCUUAUCAGCUUGUUGGUGGGGUAGUGGCUUACCAAGGCUUUGUCGGGUAGCCGGCCUGAGAGGGUGACCGGCCACAUUGGGACUGAGAUACGGCCCAGACUCCUACGGGAGGCAGCAGUGGGGAAUAUUGCACAAUGGGCGGAAGCCUGAUGCAGCAACGCCGCGUGCGGGAUGACGGCCUUCGGGUUGUAAACCGCUUUCGCCUGUGACGAAGCGUGAGUGACGGUAAUGGGUAAAGAAGCACCGGCUAACUACGUG